rnacentral:rRNA from 1 species
UACGUAGGGACCAAGCGUUGUUCGGAUUUACUGGGCGUAAAGGGCGCGUAGGCGGCGUGACAAGUCACUUGUGAAAUCUCUGAGCUUAACUCAGAACGGCCAAGUGAAACUGUUGUGCUAGAGUGCAGAAGGGGCAAUCGGAAUUCUUGGUGUAGCGGUGAAAUGCGUAGAUAUCAAGAGGAACACCAGUGGCGAAGGCGGCUACCUGGACCGGUUCUGACGCUGAGGCGCGAAAGCGUGGGUAGCAAACAGG